rnacentral:rRNA from 1 species
AUUGAACGCUGGCGGCAUGCCUUACACAUGCAAGUCGAACGGUAACAGGUCUUCGGAUGCUGACGAGUGACGCACGGGUGAGUAAUACAUCGGAACGUGCCCAGACGUGGGGGAUAACGAGGCGAAAGCUUUGCUAAUACCGCAUACGAUCUAAGGAUGAAAGCAGGGGACCGCAAGGCCUUGUGCGUUUGGAGCGGCCGAUGGCAGAUUAGGUAGUUGGUGGGAUAAAAGCUUACCAAGCCGACGAUCUGUAGCUGGUCUGAGAGGACGACCAGCCACACUGGGACUGAGACACGGCCCAGACUCCUACGGGAGGCAGCAGUGGGGAAUUUUGGACAAUGGGCGAAAGCCUGAUCCAGCAAUGCCGCGUGCAGGAUGAAGGCCUUCGGGUUGUAAACUGCUUUUGUACGGAACGAAAAGGCUCUGGCUAAUACCUGGGGCACAUGACGGUACCGUAAGAAUAAGCACCGGCUAACUACGUG